UACGGAGGGUGCGAGCGUUGUCCGGAAUCACUGGGCGUAAAGCGUGCGCAGGCGGCUUUGCAAGACAGAUGUGAAAUCCCCGGGCUUAACCUGGGAACUGCAUUUGUGACUGCAUGGCUGGAGUGCGGCAGAGGGGGAUGGAAUUCCGCGUGUAGCAGUGAAAUGCGUAGAUAUGCGGAGGAACACCGAUGGCGAAGGCAAUCCCCUGGGCCUGCACUGACGCUCAUGCACGAAAGCGUGGGGAGCAAACAGG
rnacentral:rRNA from 1 species